rnacentral:lncRNA from 1 species
GCGGGCUAUAGAUUUAUGUGGUAUGGAUGUAAGUUCUGCAGGCUAUAGGUUUAUGUGGUAUGGAUGUAAGUUCCGCAGGCUAUAGGUUUAUGUGGUAUGGAUGUAAGUUCUGCAGGCUGUAGGUUUAUGUGGUAUGGAUGUAAGUUCUGCAGGCUGUAGGGUUAUGUGGUAUGGAUGUAAGUUCUGCAGGCUAUAGGUUUAUGUGGUAUGGAUGUAAGUUCCGCAGGCUGUGGGUUUAUGCGGUACGGAUGUAAGUUCUGCAGGCUGUAGGGUUAUGCAGUAUAGAUGAAAGUUCUGUGCCAUUGAUUGAGCCAGCAUCAGUUGAAUUAAGCAACUCAGCCCCUGGGACACAAGGGAAAUAAGGCCCGGCUGGGCUCUUGAGUUUUGUCUCCCAGAGACAGACAGGCAAGAACUCUGGAAGGAUAUGCUGAGGGCCACGCUGGGCAGUACCAAAGGCUGUGGGCCUGCACGAGGGGAGGGUCAUGGUGCUGGGAGCGGCUGAGGCUCAUCAGGGUCCUGUCAGCCAGCAGAG